UUCAUAUGGGCCGGAUUUUAUCCGGCCCAGCCCGGAACCCGGAUAACCGGGUUUCCGGUUAUGGUUUUCGGCCCGGAUAAAUCCGGGCCGGAACCCAUAUUUAUAAAAACCGGAAGCAUCCGGUCCGGACCCGGGUAUAAAACCGGGUUCCGUAUUAUACCCGGUUGCUAACCGGGUUUCUUUAUAAUGUAAAUGUGAAUCGUGACUUCAGUCUUCUCUCUCUCUCUCUCUCUCUCUCUCUCUCGUUAUGAACUUAGCAGAACUUAGAAACCCUAAGCUCCCUCCGUGAAAUCUUGCUGCCGUCUCUCUCUCGCCGUCGUCGCUGGCCGGACUUCGAUCAGAUUAUGAAUUCACUGACCCAAGCGCUGCAAUCUUCUGGAGUUGAUUUGUCACAAGCCUGCAUCUCAGUGCAGAUUAAUGCCGGUAAACCUGCAAAUAGCAGACUGAAUGGUGUAGCAGACUGAAUUUCAUAUAUUGUAAUUUGUGUUUUGUAAUAUGUAUAAAUACAAAAUAAUGAAAUAUGUAGUGAUUGUAUAAUGUAUUAUGUUUUUUUA